ACAUCCAGAGAAUUUAGCAGAGAUGCUUUAGUGCCUUCGGGAACUCUGAGACAGGUGCUGCAUGGCUGUCGUCAGCUCGUGUUGUGAAAUGUUGGGUUAAGUCCCGNAACGAGCGCAACCCUUUAUCCUUUGUUGCCAGCACGUAAUGGUGGGAACUCAAAGGAGACUGCCGGUGAUAAACCGGAGGAAGGUGGGGAUGACGUCAAGUCAUCAUGGCCCUUACGAGUAGGGCUACACACGUGCUACAAUGGCGCAUACAAAGAGAAGCGACCUCGCGAGAGCAAGCGGACCUCAUAAAGUGCGUCGUAGUCCGGAUUGGAGUCUGCAACUCGACUCCAUGAAGUCGGAAUCGCUAGUAAUCGUAAAUCAGAAUGUUACGGUGAAUACGUUCCCGGGCCUUGCACACACCGCCCGUCACACCAUGGGAGUGGGUUGUAAAAGAAGUAGAUAGCUUAACCUUCGGGAGGGCGUUUACCACUUUGUGAUUCAUGACUGGGGUGAAGUCGUAACAAGGUAGGCGUAGUGCU
rnacentral:rRNA from 1 species